GGGCGGGCACGGGGGGACUCCUACGGGAGGCAGCAGUAAGGAAUAUUGGUCAAUGGACGCAAGUCUGAACCAGCCAUGCCGCGUGGAGGAUUAAGGCCCUCUGGGUUGUAAACUCCUUUUAUCUGGGAAGAAAUGCAUUUUUUCUAAAGUGCUUGACGGUACCAGAGGAAUAAGCACCGGCUAACUCCGUGCCAGCAGCCGCGGUAAUACGGAGGGUGCAAGCGUUAUCCGGAUUCACUGGGUUUAAAGGGUGCGUAGGCGGGCAGGUAAGUCCGUGGUGAAAUCUCUGAGCUUAACUCAGAAACUGCCAUGGGUACUAUUUGUCUUGAAUAUUGUGGAGGUAAGCGGAAUAUGUCAUGUAGCGGUGAAAUGCUUAGAUAUGACAUAGAACACCAAUUGCGAAGGCAGCUUACUACACAGUUAUUGACGCUGAGGCACGAAAGCGUGGGGAUCAAACAGGAUUAGAUACCCUGGUAGUCCACGCCCUAAACGAUGAUUACUCGACAUCAGCGAUACACUGUUGGUGUCUGAGGGAAACCAUUAAGUAAUCCACCUGGGAAGUACGAUCGCAAGAUUGAAACUCAAAGGAAUUGACGG
rnacentral:rRNA from 1 species